rnacentral:rRNA from 1 species
AAGAUGAGUCCGCGGCCCAUUAGCUUGUUGGUAGGGUAACGGCCUACCAAGGCUGCGAUGGGUAGCCGGCCUGAGAGGGUGAUCGGCCACAUUGGGACUGAGAUACGGCCCAGACUUCUACGGAAGGCAGCAGUUAAGAAUCUUGCGCAAUGGGCGAAAGCCUGACGCAGCGACGCCGCGUGGACGAUGAAGGCCUUCGGGUUGUAAAGUCCGGUAAGCAGGGAAGAAUAAGUUUCGUUGAAUAAGCGGAACGAUGACGGUACCUGCCUAAAGCCCCGGCUAACUACGUGCCAGCAGCCGCGGUAAUACGUAUGGGGCGAGCGUUGUUCGGAAUUAUUGGGCAUAAAGGGCGUCUAGGCGGGGAAUUAAGUUAGGUGUGAAAGCCAUGGGCUCAACCCGUGAAUUGCAUCUAAAACUGAUUCUCUUGAGUUCGGGAGAGGAGAGCGGAAUUCCUGGUGUAGCGGUGAAAUGCGUAGAUAUCAGGAAGAACACCAGUGGCGAAGGCGGCUCUCUGGCCUAGAACUGACGCUGAAGCGCGAAAGCGUGGGGAGCGAACGGGAUUAGAUACCCCGGUAGUCCACGCCGUAAACGUUGUGUACUAGGUGUUAGUGCUUUAAGCACUAGUGCCGACGCUAACGCAUUAAGUACACCGCCUGGGGAGUACGCCCGCAAGGGUUAAACUCAAAGAAAUUGACGGGGGCCCGCACAAGCGGUGGAGCAUGUGGUUUAAUUCGAUGAUACGCGAAGAACCUUACCAGGGCUUGAACUGUUUCUGACAGGUGUAGAGAUACACCCUCCUUCGGGCAGAUUCAGAGGUGCUGCAUGGUUGUCGUCAGCUCGUGUCGUGAGAUGUUGGGUUAAGUCCCGCAACGAGCGCAACCCUUACUCCUUGUUGCUAUCAGGUCAUGCUGGGCACUCUAGGGGAACUGCCGGUGAUAAACCGGAGGAAGGUGGGGAUGACGUCAAAUCAGCACGGCCCUUAUGUCCUGGGCUACACACGUGCUACAAUGGCCGGUACAAUGAGUUGCGAUGCCGCGAGGUGGAGCUAAUCUCAAAAAACCGGUCUCAGUUCGGAUUGCAGUCUGCAACUCGACUGCAUGAAGCUGGAAUCGCUAGUAAUCGGAGAUCAGCACGCUCCGGUGAUACGUUCCCGGGCCUUGUAC